rnacentral:lncRNA from 1 species
GUCCCCGUGUGAGCUCUGGAAUUGUCCCUUUGGGAGCACUGGAAUUGUCCUGAGUGAGCUCUGGAAUUGUCCCCGUGGGAGCUCUGGAAUUGUCCUGAUGAGCUCUGGAAUUGUCCCUGUGGGAGCUCUGGAAUUGUCCCCGUGGGAGCAGCCUGGCACAGUGGAGGCUGUUGGGGUUGGCACUCUGCCCUUCCCAGCCAAACCAUCCCAGUGGUGGUGCUCAGGACAAAUUCCUGUCCCAGAUUUCCACUGAUUUUUCCCCAUUUUCAGACAGAUUUUGCCCCAUUUUUCACCAUAUUUUACCCCAUUUUCCCACAGAUUUUACCCCAUUCUUCUAUGGAUUUUACCCCAUUCUUCCACGGAUUUUACCCCAUUCGUCCAUGGAUUUUACCCCAUUUUUCUAAAGAUUUUGCCCUUUUUUCCACGGAUUUUACCCCAUUCUUCUGUGGAUUUUUCCCAUUCUUCCACAGAUUCUGCCCCAUUCUUCCACAGAUUUUUCCCCAUUUUUCCACGGAUUUCACCUCAUUCUUCCACAGAUUUUACCCCAUUCUUCAACGAAUUUUUUCCCCAUUUUUCCAUGGAUUUUCCCACUGAUUUUCCCCCAUUUUCCCCCAGCUUUUGCCAUGCCCAUCCCCACGUUGUCCCCUUUCCCCAGCACGGGCUGGAUCCCUCUCCCUGUGCAGUAGCAGCUCCGGGUAGGAUUGCACAGGGCUGAGCUUUCCCGGCGUGUGCCGGGUGCUGGGACAGUUCCACUGAAAUCCCAGCACCUGCAAGUGGUUACUUAGAAUAAUAAAUAACUGAUAGAUUAUCAAAUAAAGCCUUGCCUUGGGAUGAGGUCAUCCCUGCCCCGUGUCCUGCGUCUCCCAGGGUUUGGAGCAGCUUUCCUGGGCUAAAUCCCUCUUGUAUCAGGCAAUAAAAAACUUGUCGGGAUUAAAGAAUCAAUUAGGAAUUAGCCAAAGGGGCAAAGCGUAACCCAAACACGCUGAUAAAAUCCAGUAGGUGAUUAUGGGAAGGGGUUUGAUUUCAUUGGGCUUUGGAAAGGAAUAAUUGCUCCUUCCAGAGCACGGAACAACACGGGCUGGGUGUUUUUGCAGCUUUAUAGAGGAGGAAAUUCUGGUGUUCGCUGACAAAUGUGGGGACAUGCCACGAUUUAGGGCUGAAGGGGGUCCUGAAUUUGAGAAGCAUCAUUCCCUGGUUGGGAAAAUGAUCUUGGAAAUCUUUUCAAGGACAGGUUGGACGGGGCUUGGAGCAGCCUGGGAUGGUGGAAGGUGUCCCUGUGGCAGGGAGUGGAACCAGAUGAGUUUUAAGGUCCCUCCCAACCCAAACCAUUCUGGGAUAUUCCAUGACUGGGAUGCAGCAGGAUGGGCAGGGAUGUGCCACAUCUCUGGCACUGCCUUUGCUCUUCCACAGGCACAGGAAAACAGAACAGAACUCCUGGAAAAAUUGAUUUUCCCAGCUGAUGAUGGCAGGGAGGGGAUGGAGCAGUCCCAGCAUGGUGCAGGAGCGUGAGGAGUUGGAUUUUAGGGGAAAAGAGCCCGAUCCUGGCUCGGGGACUCUGUGCCACCAAUCCCUGUUUAUUCCCUGUCUAGCCCAGCUUCCCACUCUCCCAAAGCUUUUCUUCAUGAAGGAGACCCAGGGACAGAAGAUCCCCCAAGGCAGCGUGGUGCCAGCACAUCCCAGGAAUGUCUCAGCCUCAUCCCAACCUCCUCCUGCACAGCUCCAUCCUCCCCCAGCAGCUCCAGGCUUGAUCUUUUUGGGAUUGUUUUGGCCUCAUCCCAACCUCCCCCAGCAGCUCCAGGCUCAGCCUUUUUGGGAUCAUUUCAGCCACGGGGCAGCCCUGUGACAAAUGCCAGGGGACACCAACCUGUGCGAGUGGAGCCCUCUGGGUGUUUUUGGGGUGUCUGACUCAGCCCUGGUUACCUGAAAUGCUGCCCAGGGCUCUGCCCCACCUUCCCCCUGUCCCCCCUGUCCCCCCAGGGGCACUGCAGCUCCCUGACUGAAGCGUAGUGUCGGAAUCUGAGGUGUUGAUGAUCCCAAAAUUGUAGAGUGUCUCUGUCUUUCAGCCCCGCUGCCAAAGAAGAAGCCAUAAUCCAUCUGUGCUGUUUCAAGGUUGUUUAUUCUGUUUAUCUCUAACAUGUUCUGCUGCCCUGCCGCAGCUCUGUCCUGCAGGGCAGCGUGUGGGGCUCUGCCCUCAGUGGGAUGGUACAAACAUUAAAUACCACAAACUACCUGUGCUGGAUUUACAAUAACGUGCCAAUAUCUGUCACCUACAUUGGACAGUGUGUCCCCAGCCUGAACCAACAGAAAAAUGCCAACACCACAGUGAAACAUGGAGGGCAUGAAGAAGGAGAAAAAGGACAAGACACACCCAAUUUCCUCCAUCUUGUCCCCUUUGGACCCCUCAUCUAGAAUCCUAAAAUUUUACUUUUGCACCCAUGCCACACUUAAUUAUUACUCAUAUCAAACACUCAGAGCUGGUAAUUCACCCUGUAAGAUUGAAAACUCUUUUCCAUGGACAGAGAUCACAGCCAGUGUCUCUGGGGGCUCUGUCCAGGGGGGUUCCUGACCCCUGCCAGGGUCCCAGGGCAGCCAGAGGGAUGCUCUGGAUUCCCACAUAGGUGGAAUAAAUAAAUAGACUUUAAAUAAAAAGUUAAAAUUUAUCAAUAUAAUGCAUAAUUCUACAAGCUAAAAU